AGAGUUUGAUCCUGGCUCAGGACGAACGCUGGCGGCGUGCUUAAUACAUGCAAGUCGAACGAGGUUCAUCCGGUGGCAACACCGGAGAAGACCUAGUGGCGAACGGGUGAGUACCACGUGAGCAACCUGCCCCGAAGACUGGGAUAACACCGGGAAACCGGUGCUAAUACCGGAUGCCCCCACCGGACCGCAUGGUCUGGUGAGGAAAUGGAUUCCGCUUCGGGAGGGGCUCGCGGCCUAUCAGCUUGUUGGUGAGGUAACGGCUCACCAAGGCUUCGACGGGUAGCUGGUCUGAGAGGACGAUCAGCCACACUGGGACUGAGACACGGCCCAGACUCCUACGGGAGGCAGCAGUAGGGAAUCUUGCGCAAUGGGCGAAAGCCUGACGCAGCAACGCCGCGUGGGGGACGAAGGCUUUCUGAGUUGUAAACCCCUUUCAGCAGGGACGAUCGUGACGCUACCUGCAGAAGAAGCACCGGCCAACUACGUGCCAGCAGCCGCGGUGAUACGUAGGGUGCAAGCGUUGUCCGGAAUUAUUGGGCGUAAAGAGCUCGUAGGCGGUUCGAUAAGUCGGGUGUGAAACCCCCAGGCUCAACCUGGGGCCGCCACCCGAUACUGUCGUGACUAGAGUCCGGUAGGGGACCAUGGAAUUCCUGGUGUAGCGGUGAAAUGCGCAGAUAUCAGGAGGAACACCAGCAGCGAAGGCGGUGGUCUGGGCCGGAACUGACGCUGAGGAGCGAAAGCGUGGGGAGCGAACAGGAUUAGAUACCCCCGUAGUCC
rnacentral:rRNA from 1 species